AUACGUAGGUGGCAAGCGUUGUCCGGAUUUAUUGGGCGUAAAGCGAGCGCAGGCGGUUUCUUAAGUCUGAUGUGAAAGCCCCCGGCUCAACCGGGGAGGGUCAUUGGAAACUGGAGAACUUGAGUGCAGAAGAGGAGAGUGGAAUUCCAUGUGUAGCGGUGAAAUGCGUAGAUAUAUGGAGGAACACCAGUGGCGAAGGCGGCUCUCUGGUCUGUAACUGACGCUGAGGCUCGAAAGCGUGGGGAGCAAACAGGAUUAGAUACCCUGGUAGUCCACGCCGUAAACGAUGAGUGCUAAGUGUUGGAGGGUUUCCGCCCUUCAGUGCUGCAGCUAACGCAUUAAGCACUCCGCCUGGGGAGUACGGCCGCAAGGCUGAAACUCAAAGGAAUUGACGGGG
rnacentral:rRNA from 1 species